AUGUGUAUUGAUUCCUCUGCUCAGUGGAGAACAGAACCACCAUUUGAUUCCCAUGUUCCAACUCCUGCCAAUCGAGUGGGCUCCUUCGAGAAAGUACCUGUUAGAAAUUCAGCUGGGAAUGAGCCACAACCUACUAUUAAUCAAGGGCAAGGCCCUAGACAGUUGUCAUUUGUCAUGCCUCAUGUACAUAAUUCAGCUGCACAGUGGCAGCAACAGCCACUGCCUAUUCAACAAUCUUCAUCGCAACCUAUUCCAUCCCAACAGGUACAUCAGCCCCACGAACAGCAUCAACAGGGCCAAGAUCAACAUUCACAUAAACAUGUGACUUUGCAACGUCAGCCUCAGUAAUAAUUGCAGCAUCCGCAGCCAGGGCAGAGCAAGUUUUGUUUGUCUGUCCUGAAUUCAAAGGGGAAUGAUACAACCAAAUGGAUAGAGCAGCUACCCUGAGAGCGGUGGCCUUUGUCAGGAUUGGAAUUUUUUAUGCCCUUUUGGCAGCAAUUUACAGAGACCUGAUACGAGACAUUAGACUACAAUAAUUAGAGACAUGUACAGCACCAUAUGCAACGGGCUUACAAUCAACAAAUGCUGGUGUAGAUAAAGGUUUAUCCUCAAUGGUCAUAUCCGUAACUAGAAUAUGACCACUUUGUCCACAUGGCGACGAUGGUGGCUAUUGUUAUUAAAUUUGUUGCAUCAUUGAGGUCUUAUUUUGAUGAGAAUCUGCAGCUUUACUCCAGUUAGACCUAUGAAGCUGGUGAAUAUGGAAACAGAUGCAUUGGUUUCUGCUGGUCCUGUUAAAAAAUUAAUUGGCUGGCACUAUUGGUUAUUUUUAUUUGUGUCAUCCAGAUCUUGCACAUUAUCACUUUUUAAACCCCCCCCUUUUUUUUUCUGGAAGGGACACGAAUACAGAGGUGUGUACAGGGUCGUCUCUCUUGGCCAUUCUGUAGAGAAACACAAUUCCCCUUUUUUGGUAGAUUAGUGGGUGUUUAUUGUCACCCUCUUAGUUAAUUGGGAUAGCAAUCAUUUUUGUUGGCAAAAGCCAAUUCAAAUAUUUGUAAAUACAAGUUUUUGCACGAGGCAAUGGGUUUUUUUUUUAAAACCUUUUUUCUGUUUCUUGUACUGCCUGUGCACUUGCGGAAGUAGUGAAUCUCGUGACUAUUUUCUGUUCCUGAAAUUCAGCAAGUUGAACCAUCCCAUUUAUCGGUUUGUAUUACGCAACAGUAUAUGAAUUUAUGGUACAGAAUGCUUUGAUUC